AUUGAACGCUGGCGGCAGGCCUAACACAUGCAAGUCGAACGAGAGGCGGACGGGUGAGUAAUGACUGGGAAACUGCCUGGUGGAGGGGGAUCACUACUGGAAACGGUAGCUAAUACCGCAUACCAUCGGAUGUGCCCAGAUGGGAGUAGCUAGUAGGUGGGGUAAAGGCUCACCUAGGCGACGAUCCCUAGCUGGUCUGAGAGGAUGACCAGCCACACUGGAACUGAGACACGGUCCAGACUCCUACGGGAGGCAGCAGUGGGGAAUAUUGCACAAUGGGCGAAAGCCGGAUGCAGCCAUGCCGCGUGUGUGAAGAAGGCCUUCGGGUUGUAAAGCACUUUCAGCUGGGAGGCGUUACCCGCAGAAUAAGCACCGGCUAACUCCGUGCCAGCAGCCGCGGUAAUAC
rnacentral:rRNA from 1 species